UGGGUGAGUAACGCGUGGGUAACCUGCCCUUAAGUCUGGGAUACCAUUUGGAAACAGAUGCUAAUACCGGAUAAAAGCUACUUUCGCAUGAAAGAAGUUUAAAAGGCGGCGUAAGCUGUCGCUAAAGGAUGGACCUGCGAUGUAUUAGCUAGUUGGUAAGGUAACGGCUUACCAAGGCGAUGAUGCAUAGCCGAGUUGAGAGACUGAUCGGCCACAUUGGGACUGAGACACGGCCCAAACUCCUACGGGAGGCAGCAGAG
rnacentral:rRNA from 1 species